AGCGAAAUUUUCUUCGCGAUAGAUAGGUUUCUGAUAGACAUUGGUGAUAUACCUUGUUUUUUUUAUGCAGU
rnacentral:tRNA from 1 species